rnacentral:lncRNA from 1 species
UUUAUUUUUACCUAGGUGCUGGGUAGUUUUUCUGUAACUCAGCUGCUGGGUCAUUUUUACUAUCAAUACAAAUGAUGAACCCGGUCACAUAGGCCUGCCUAGCCAGUGCUGGGUUACUGUAACCCAAUGUUGGGUAAACUCUACCAAACUGGUUAAAACUGGAUACAUUUGUCACCGGUUAUUUUUGUGCUCUGUCCUGAAAGAAAACUUCCUGGGGGAAUCUUCCAGAGGGGAAACUUCCUGGAUGAAAUUAAGCUAACGUCUGCUUGGAACGCUAGCCUUCUACAAAUGCAGUAUUUGACGCACAGGCACCACCACGGAAGUUUACGUUUUGAAUGGAAUCCCGGGGGAACGGAGGAGCACAGAGACGAUGGAGCACAGAAGUGCAGGAGAACAGCAUGCUGGAUCUAGAGGCAGAUUUAGAGGCAGAAAUUUCAAUAUGAGAUUCAGGAAACGAGAUCUAAAUUGUUGCCAUGAAAUGAAUGUUUGUAACUAGGUGAUUGAUGAGCCUGCUAAUAUCAGUUAGGGCUACUUACUGAGUGCAAUGUCACAAGAGUAGGAUCUAUGUAAUAUUUUAAAUAUGACAUCUUUUGUUGUUUGUUAAUAGAUAUUUGUGUGGAAUAUAUUUUCUGUUGAUUUGAUCGUGAAAAAAGUGGAUACUGAAUUUGUCAAUAGUAAUCAAAAUUCUUUCAGUUGAAAUAUAAGUGGUAUACAGAGAAAUUGGAUUAUAAUUUUGCUCUUCUUUCAAAAG